CUUUAACAGGGCUUCAAACUGAGUGUCUUCGUGGACUGGCAACUGGGUUGGGAUGUCACACUCAUUCUGUCCAUGAACUACCAAGGUUUUGGUACCUACAAAAGGUUUCUGGCUGCGAGGUAUGUGGGAUCUUAGUUCUCUGGCCAGAAAUCAAACCCUCACCUCCUGUAAUGGAAGGUUAAGUCCCAACCUCUGGACCACCAAGGAAGUCCCAUGAAAUGUAGUUUAAAUUUACUUUUUCUAUAUUUUACUUGGCUGGUGAGACAAUAUUUCUACUUCAUUCCUUAAUUAUAAAUCUUUGUGAACAUUAUGAUAGACCUUGAUUUUCAAUGAACUGAUUUUAAGAAUAUGCCUGACAAUAUGAGUUUCUUUAAUAAAAAUGAACACUUUGGUGAAUAA